CUUCGUAUUAUUCAGAUCUUUAUUUAUAUUUUGUUUCAAUAAGAUACAACAUCAAUUCACCAAUCAUCAAUACUAACAUACUUCAACUUUCAACAUGUUUUGAUAUAUAAAUUAACUAACUCGUCAAUGGUAAGAGGUGAAGGACAAUGUCAUCAUUAGUUUGUCUAUUGUAAGAAGUGGAGGCCAAUGUAAUCAUUAACUUUUCUAUGGUAAGAGUAGAAGGUAGGUCCCCCAUUGAUAAGAAGAAUUCAUUGUAUUAUUUAUCAUUUCACUUGGUGGUUCCAACUUCCAUCUGAGAUGAGCAUGUUAACAGUCAAAAGUCGGAAUAAUGCAAACAUAUGACACCAUCUCAAAUGGCUUCAUAAUGUUUUAACAAAAGUUUAAACAAAUUUAGCACUGCAAAAAAAUGGUCUCUUUUUUAACUUAUACUUUAGAUUAGAUAAUCUCAACUCCAAAAAAACAUUUUCGAAAUGAUGCAAUUCUCAUCAAUGAAAUUUGUUUUUUUGUGCUUUUGACCAAUAUAUAUAUUUUGCAAACAGAUGUAUCAAUUCAUAAUUUUGAAAUGAUUAAUAAAUUUAAUAAGCAGGGAUUAAUUUUCCUUGAACAACAACAUAUUAUAAAUAACAAAAAGUUGUUAUUGACAUUAAAAAAAAGGUUGUUUCGUCUUGUCUCAUCUUUUUUCGCAGUUCAAACAACACUUUGAAUAUGGGAUUCAUGGAUUGACGAUGUGGUACAGUACAAUGUAUUUAAAUCUGACAUGAUGAAGCAAACUACAAUAAUACACUCCUAUCUCACAUGUUUUGUAUUUGUUUUAAAUUUAAAUUUCCAGACCAAGGACUUAACAAAGAAAAGAGACGUGUUUAAUCAAAAUUUACAUAUGGUCCAUUCAAUAAGAAACACAUCAAAAUAUAAAUAAAUUACUUGCUCAAUAUUUGGAGACUAUAUUCACAUUCAGAUAUAUGUAUUGAAACAACUUGCCCACAGCAAAUGUUUUUCAUUACACUAAAAAUAAAAUCUAGAUUGUGUAAUCCAUGUUAACAUACACUUACCCUACAUCAUACAGCAUUGUAUAUCUUGGAUUCACAUUCAGACAUAUAUAAAAAAAAUUAUACACUAACACCUCCAUUAAACAUGUAAACAAAAUAAUCUCAUAAGAAAAUAACACAAUGGUUUUUAGAAUAAUAUACUUCUGGCACAAAUAUUUUGCCAUUUUUUGUUAAUAUUUUUUUUUGUCAUUUCCAUAAAUCUUUU
rnacentral:lncRNA from 1 species